rnacentral:rRNA from 1 species
AUUGAACGCUGGCGGCAUGCCUUACACAUGCAAGUCGAACGGCAGCACGGGGGCAACCCUGGUGGCGAGUGGCGAACGGGUGAGUAACACAUCGGAACGUGCCCAGUAGUGGGGGAUAGCUCGGCGAAAGCCGGAUUAAUACCGCAUACGACCUACGGGUGAAAGCGGGGGAUCGCAAGACCUCGCGCUAUUGGAGCGGCCGAUGUCAGAUUAGGUUGUUGGUGGGGUAAAGGCCUACCAAGCCGACGAUCUGUAGCUGGUCUGAGAGGACGACCAGCCACACUGGGACUGAGACACGGCCCAGACUCCUACGGGAGGCAGCAGUGGGGAAUUUUGGACAAUGGGCGCAAGCCUGAUCCAGCCAUGCCGCGUGCGGGAAGAAGGCCUGGU